rnacentral:misc_RNA from 1 species
AAAUUCAAAUCAAAUGCAGGCUGCAUGUAGCAACAGUACAGAUAUAUCAUUAGAGAUGUUUGUUCUGAUAACAUUAAAAAAAGGCUUAAAUAAAAACAACACAAUGCAUCUGCACAUACUACCAGAGUACCAGACUAUAAAACCUAGUUACAGAAAAGACCAGACCCAGUGUCGAGGGCUCCCACGAGUGUGUGUGUGUAGGAAAAGGAUAAACCGAGACAAGCCUUCUCUCCGCAAAUGCGGAGAGGCUGCUUCGUACCAACGAUCUGGUGACUCAAUGAGACAGCUCUCACCUAGUAGGUUGAGGUAAACUUGUUGCACUAUGUCAGUAAAAUUUACAUCUAACUUCGUGGACAUUAAUUGAUAUGUAAUGAUACAGAAACAUGCUCAUAAUUAUUGAAUCAGAUCUAAAUUUCAAUAAGAAAAAUUACAAACCUG